rnacentral:rRNA from 1 species
UACAGAGGUCUCAAGCGUUGUUCGGAUUCAUUGGGCGUAAAGGGUGCGUAGGUGGCGGGGUUAGUCAGGUGUGAAAUCUCGGGGCUCAACCCCGAAACUGCACUUGAUACUGCCUUGCUUGAGUACUGGAGAGGAGAUUGGAAUUUACGGUGUAGCAGUGAAAUGCGUAGAUAUCGUAAGGAAGACCAGUGGCGAAGGCGAAUCUCUGGACAGUUACUGACACUGAGGCACGAAGGCCAGGGGAGCAAACGGG